rnacentral:rRNA from 1 species
AACCUCCGCAAUGUGAGAAAUCGCGACGGGGGGAUCCCAAGUGCCAUUCUUAACGGGAUGGCUUUUCAUUAGUGUAAAGAGCUUUUGGAAUAAGAGCUGGGCAAGACCGGUGCCAGCCGCCGCGGUAACACCGGCAGCUCUAGUGGUAGCAAUUUUUAUUGGGCCUAAAGCGUCCGUAGCCGGUUUAAUAAGUCUCUGGUGAAAUCCUGUAGCUUAACUGUGGGAAUUGCUGGAGAUACUAUUAGACUUGAGACCGGGAGAGGUUAGAGGUACUCCCAGGGUAGAGGUGAAAUUCUGUAAUCCUGGGAGGACCGCCUGUUGCGAAGGCGUCUAACCGGAACGGUUCUGACGGUGAGGGACGAAAGUUAGGGGCGCGAACCGGAUUAGAUACCCGGGUAGUCCUAACUGUAACGAUGCGGACUUGGUGUUGGGGUGGCUUUGAGCUGCUCCAGUGCCGAAGGGAAGCUGUUAAGUCCGCCGCCUGGGAAGUACGGUCGCAAGACUGAAACUUAAAGGAAGU